AACGAACGCUGGCGGCAUGCCUAACACAUGCAAGUCGAACGAGACCUUCGGGUCUAGUGGCGCACGGGUGCGUAACGCGUGGGAACCUGCCCUUAGGUUCGGAAUAACUCCCCGAAAGGGGUGCUAAUACCGGAUAAUUUCUUCUGACCAAAGAUUUAUCGCCUUUGGAUGGGCCCGCGUUGGAUUAGCUAGUUGGUAGGGUAAAAGCCUACCAAGGCGACGAUCCAUAGCUGGUCUGAGAGGAUGAUCAGCCACACUGGGACUGAGACACGGCCCAGACUACUACGGGAGGCAGCAGUGGGGAAUAUUGGACAAGGGGCGAAAGCCUGAACCAGCAAUGACGCGUGAGUGAUGAAGGCAUUAGGGUUGUAAAGCUAUUUUAACAGGGAUGAUAAUGACAGUACCGGGAGAAUAAGCUCCGGCUAACUCCGUG
rnacentral:rRNA from 1 species